GAUGAACGCUGGCGGCGUGCCUAAUACAUGCAAGUCGAGCGAACAGACGAGGAGCUUGCUCCUCUGACGUUAGCGGCGGACGGGUGAGUAACACGUGGAUAACCUACCUAUAAGACUGGGAUAACUUCGGGAAACCGGAGCUAAUACCGGAUAACAUGUUGAACCGCAUGGUUCAACAGUGAAAGACGGUCUUGCUGUCACUUAUAGAUGGAUCCGCGCCGCAUUAGCUAGUUGGUAAGGUAACGGCUUACCAAGGCAACGAUGCGUAGCCGACGUGAGAGGGUGGUCGGCCACCCUGGAGCUGAGACACGGUCCAGAGUCCUACGGGAGGCAGCAGUAGGGAAUCUUACGCAAUGGGCGAAAGCCUGACGGAGCAACGGCGCGUGAGUGAAGAAGGUCUUCGGAUCGUAAAACUCUGUUAUUAGGGAAGAACAAAUGUGUAAGUAACUAUGCACGUAUUGACGGUACCUAAUCAGAAAGCCACGGCUAACUACGUG
rnacentral:rRNA from 1 species